rnacentral:sRNA from 1 species
AACAGCCAUAUCCCGAAACGAUCAACUUUCCAAUUCAGCAAUGCUAGAGCUUAACUAAAACCUCUCAGACCUCGCUUGUCGUCUAUGGACCCGCCAACCUUCCCCCUUGUGGAUUUUGGGAAUGAUGUUGCUACAACUAACCAUCCGCUUUGAUUGUCGUCAGCAAUGAAAUUAAUACAGCAGUUUACUGUCCUGGAAGCUUCCCCCGGUUGAGUGGGUGUUCAACUUGAUCCUCUUUGUGUUGGGAAUUGGCAUUUUGGUGGUGGUGCUCGCUCGUCCCUGCACAAUUGGAAAUAUCCCUGCUGCUUGCUUCAGAACUACCAAGAGUAAGAGACAGUCAGUUGGUUCUGGAGACUCAGGGACUCAGGGUCAGCACAGCCAUGUGCUCAUAUGCCAGAUUCACCACGAAUACUAAAUGCCUUCAGGCGAAUGGACCUCAUGCGUGGAGGUUUCGAGACGCGAAUCCAACAAGAAAGGAUAAGAAUAGUUAGACAUAUUGAGUUUCUUCCUGUUGGAAUAUAGUAGGCGAUUCGUAUUGUUCACUUUGUGCCGCAACUUUCCUUCUGUUUGGCAUGUGCCAUGUACUUAGGUUGUGAAGAAGGAAGACAUUGCUGGGAGAGAAUAUAAGGCUUCACUGAAGAGUUGAACUUGACAUGCUGAGAAUAACUCAAUCGGGUCAUGGCAUUUUAUAGCAGUCAACAAGAACAGC